CAGCUUGCUGGGUGGAUUAGUGGCGAACGGGUGAGUAACACGUGAGUAACCUGCCCUUAACUCUGGGAUAAGCCUGGGAAACUGGGUCUAAUACCGGAUAGGAGCGUCCACCGCAUGGUGGGUGUUGGAAAGAUUUAUCGGUUUUGGAUGGACUCGCGGCCUAUCAGCUUGUUGGUGAGGUAAUGGCUCACCAAGGCGACGACGGGUAGCCGGCCUGAGAGGGUGACCGGCCACACUGGGACUGAGACACGGCCCAGACUCCUACGGGAGGCAGCAGUGGGGAAUAUUGCACAAUGGGCGCAAGCCUGAUGCAGCGACGCCGCGUGAGGGAUGACGGCCUUCGGGUUGUAAACCUCUUUCAGUAGGGAAGAAGCGAAAGUGACGGUACCUGCAGAAGAAGCACCGGCUAACUACGUGCCAGCAGCCGCGGUAAUACGUAGGGUGCGAGCGUUAUCCGGAAUUAUUGGGCGUAAAGAGCUCGUAGGCGGUUUGUCGCGUCUGUCGUGAAAGUCCGGGGCUUAACCCCGGAUCUGCGGUGGGUACGGGCAGACUAGAGUGCAGUAGGGGAGACUGGAAUUCCUGGUGUAGCGGUGGAAUGCGCAGAUAUCAGGAGGAACACCGAUGGCGAAGGCAGGUCUCUGGGCUGUAACUGACGCUGAGGAGCGAAAGCAUGGGGAGCGAACAGGAUUAGAUACCCUGGUAGUCCAUGCCGUAAACGUUGGGCACUAGGUGUGGGGACCAUUCCACGGUUUCCGCGCCGCAGCUAACGCAUUAAGUGCCCCGCCUGGGGAGUACGGCCGCAAGGCUAAAACUCAAAGGAAUUGACGGGGGCCCGCACAAGCGGCGGAGCAUGCGGAUUAAUUCGAUGCAACGCGAAGAACCUUACCAAGGCUUGACAUGUUCUCGAUCGCCGUAGAGAUACGGUUUCCCCUUUGGGGCGGGUUCACAGGUGGUGCAUGGUUGUCGUCAGCUCGUGUCGUGAGAUGUUGGGUUAAGUCCCGCAACGAGCGCAACCCUCGUUCCAUGUUGCCAGCACGUAAUGGUGGGGACUCAUGGGAGACUGCCGGGGUCAACUCGGAGGAAGGUGAGGACGACGUCAAAUCAUCAUGCCCCUUAUGUCUUGGGCUUCACGCAUGCUACAAUGGCCGGUACAAUGGGUUGCGAUACUGUGAGGUGGAGCUAAUCCCAAAAAGCCGGUCUCAGUUCGGAUUGGGGUCUGCAACUCGACCCCAUGAA
rnacentral:rRNA from 1 species